UACGAAGGGUGCAAGCGUUGUUCGGAAUUACUGGGCGUAAAGCGCGCGUAGGCGGGCUAGUAAGUCGAUUGUGAAAGCCCUGGGCUCAACCCGGGAAUUGCAGUUGAAACUGCUAGUCUUGAGUGCCUGAGAGGAUGGCGGAAUUGCCGGUGUAGUAGUGAAAUACGUAGAUAUCGGCAAGAACACCUGAGGCGAAGGCGGCUAUCUGGCGGUGCACUGACGCUAAGGCGCGAAAGCGUGGGGAGCAAACAGG
rnacentral:rRNA from 1 species